GCGAACGCUGGCGGCAGGCCUAACACAUGCAAGUCGAACGAACCUUUCGGGGUUAGUGGCGGACGGGUGAGUAACACGUGGGAACGUGCCUUUAGGUUCGGAAUAACUCAGGGAAACUUGUGCUAAUACCGAAUGUGCCCUUCGGGGGAAAGAUUAAUCGCCUUUAGAGCGGCCCGCGUCUGAUUAGCUAGUUGGUUGAGGUAAUGGCUCACCAAGGCGACGAUCAGUAGCUGGUCUGAGAGGAUGAUCAGCCACAUUGGGACUGAGACACGGCCCAAACUCCUACGGGAGGCAGCAGUGGGGAAUCUUGCGCAAUGGGCGAAAGCCUGACGCAGCCAUGCCGCGUGAAUGAUGAAGGUCUUAGGAUUGUAAAAUUCUUUCACCGGGGACGAUAAUGACGGUACCCGGAGAAGAAGACCCGGCUAACUUCGUG
rnacentral:rRNA from 1 species